CUUGCUUCCCACGCCAGGGCAGCUGAACCCUACUCCCUCACGUCUUCUGCUUUCUUUAAUUUGCUUGGACGGAAGCAAAUCCGCAGAAGCAGCCCCACGAUUCCUCUUCUCGUCUACCAUGGCCGCACUCACACAUGCCCUCAUCCCCACCGAAGCCACCACUUGUCUGCAGCUCAUCUUCCCCGAGUCAAACCAGCGGGUUCUCCAGCGAAGCCUCCCUCAAUUUCUUCGCAUCUCUCUCUACCGAAUUGCUACCCCACGUUCCUCCAUCGAAGACCCAACUGAAAUCCCUCAACCGCUUCCCCUCUACUAGCAAAUUCUCUACGCCAGCAUCACCUUGUUGACCUCCUGUUUUGUUGACCACCGAGCGGGCUUCAAUCCGCGUGUCUUCCAUCUUCGGCCAACAGCUGCUCCCUCCGUCUCUGCCACAUCCCAGUUAACCGAAGUAGCGUUGAAAGCAACGAAAUUAACUCAGCAUCGGACGAAGUUCCCUUGCCAGCGAAGCUCGAAGCAACCGAAAUAGCAGUCCAGCGUUUCCGCGUGGUCUUCCCCAGCUCGACGCCGUAAGCCGCUACUUCCUUCGCUCACUUGUCUUCGGCCCAGUCCGUGAGGCCAGCGUCCAUUUCUUUUGCUCGUGGACCAACCACAGCGAGCCCACUCUGAUUUUUCAGCGGCCCAAUACAACAGUUCAGCCCGCGUGGAGCUCGACCCAUUUUUAGCACUAUCAGCCCGGCAAGCCUAACCUGUUUGCAGCCCAGUUUUUGAGGCCCAAUUUCCAGCAAAUCAAUUGAAGUCAGGCCCACCGAAUCAGUAGACUCAGCCCAGCUCGAGCAGCGAGCUUUUAGGCCAAUUUCGGCCCCGGUUUGACCCCGGUUGGCGGACCCACUUCGAAGAGAAUCGAGUCUUGUCGCGUGCUCGUCGAUUUGAUUCAAUCAAAUCUUAAAUCAAGUCCUUAGAUGCAGUACACUUGAAUUUUGAAGAUCUCGAAAGUCCAGUGCAGUUUGUAGAAGGCUCCAGUUGAAGUGUAGAGGAUGAUGGAGAGGAGGACAGGAACCCGUAGUUUGUAGAACCCCACUCUUGUUUGUAGACCUUAUUUUUAAACUGGCUUAAGUUGAAUUUGACUUAAUAGUUCACCUUGUAUAUAUAGGUGCACUGGUUUGCAAUGUAUGUAUGAGUGAACGUUUUAAAGGUUUGAAAUUUAAUCCUACUGUAUUAUCCCAA